rnacentral:lncRNA from 1 species
UUUUGUACAAGUUUUCACCCUCCCAUUCUGAUAACAACUAUCCUAUUUAUAUACAAACAAAAUAACUAUCACUAACGAAUAAAUCCUAAAACUAUGACACUUGGCUCUCUGCAUGACUUCCUUUCGCCAGGUGCUUCCAUGCGUCUUCUGCCAAUCGUUAUAACUUUUUGAAUUUGAAUUUUCGCUUUACGUCGAAACGACGCG